UACGAAGGGGGCUAGCGUUGCUCGGAAUCACUGGGCUUAAAGGGCGCGUAGGCGGCUCGCGAGGUCGGGGGUGAAAUCCCGCAGCUUAACUGCGGAAGGGCCUCCGAUACCGGCGGGCUGGAGGAAGGUAGGGGUGCGCGGAACUUCUGGUGGAGCGGUGAAAUGCGUUGAUAUCAGAAGGAACGCCGGCGGCGAAAGCGGCGCACUGGACCUUUUCUGACGCUGAGGCGCGAAAGCUAGGGGAGCAACGGG
rnacentral:rRNA from 1 species